AUACUCCGCGUUUCUCUUCAAACCGUAUAAAUCUUUCGCCUUUUACUAAAGAUUUCCGUGGAGAGGAACAAGAACGAGUGCUAAGAAAUUUUUUUAGGCUUCAUUUCGGUGAGGCU
rnacentral:snRNA from 1 species